CUGCCACAAGAUGGCUGGGAAAUGUACCCCUUCUCUUCCGGCGCGAGGAAUAUCCGGGACAUUCAGUAGUGCGCCAUAUGAUAUGGGUUAAUGCUUUUCAGGAAAUGAAGAGAAGAGAGAGGGAAGAGGGGACCUUUUUCCAAGUGAAGCAUUUCCUAAUCCCAAUAUACAGCAGCUCUCUCUGUGUGUGUUCUGAAGAUUAAGGAGGAUUUAUAGGUUUAUAAAAAGCAGAAAAUAAACUUGUGUGUAGAGGGCGGGCAGGGAAAUGUUGUGAACUAAUGGUAGUGUUAUGCAGCUGUCUAUUUACAAGCAUUUCGCUACACCCGCAAUAACAUCUGCUAAAUAUGUGUGUGACCAAUACAAUUUGAGUUGAUUUGAUCUGACUAGUCACUUCUCUGAACUUCAGAAUGGGAAGUUUGGGAACUCAACCAUCCAGCCAAACACAGCUGUUGGCGACAAGGUCACAUAUUGGAUGCCAAGUUAAUUUAGCUUUUAUCAUUUUCUAUUCUAUGAAUACAGUAUCUUUGUAAUAGUUUAGCCCCUGUAGAAGGUAUCAUACUAUUUGUGUGUACAUAAGUCUACUACAGAGUUUUAAGGCAUGAGCAAGACACUCACAUGACUCAACUGUGACAAAGCAAUUUGGCAAGCAAAUGCCUCUCCUCAUAACGCCCUAAAGUGGUGUCAAUGAAAUGUGUGCCAUGUACAAUAUCGAUGACAUUACAAGCAUCUUGCACCAAUAAACGUAUUGGAAGUA